CGAGUUGGCUUACUUUCUGAAGUUACAAGAGUCCUACGAGAAAAUGGGCUAUCAGUGACCAGAGCUGGUGUCACAACUAUUGGGGAGAAAGCAAAGAAUGUCUUCUACAUAAGAGAUGCAUCUGGAAAACCUGUCGAGAUGAAGACGAUUGAAAGACUGCGUGAGGAAAUUGGACAGACGAUGAUGCUUAAUGUGAAGAAAGACCCAACAUCUGCAAAGGUACCUGAAACUGGUGGUCUGGCUAAGACAAGCUUUUUCUUUGGAGGCUUACUGGAAAAGUUCCUAACUUAAAAGUUCAUCUGUUGUGAGCUUACCUACUUAUAUAGAAGAAUAAAGCAAUUAAUUAUAAGUCAAACGCAUAAAUGUGGCAAGGUUUCCCUGUAAAAAUAUGUGUAGAUACAUUGGACAAUUAUCCUUGCCAGGAUAAACAAAGGGAAAAAGAUUGGAAGAAAAAAGAACCUGCCCCAUUCAGUCUUAUUCUGUGCUGAAGUGUGGAAUUAUCCGAUGACUGUGUGCUGUUCUUGCACAAUAAAAGAUGAAAGUAUGACUUUAGGAUUAAAACUUUGGUCCAGAAAUGCUACUAUUGAAGAUUGAACAAAGAAAGCCAAUACAUUUUAGUGUACUUGAUCUUGAUGUCUAUGUUGUGUAGUUGUAGCAGCCCAAAAAUGAGCUGCUGACAUUGUUGUGAUUUUAACCUUUAGCUCCUUCAGUUUAUUAGCUGGUUGAGUAUUUUCCCUUCAUUUGUCAGUUAACUGGAAGUAUGCUUAGGUCAAUGUUUGUAACUUUAAUUUUAAUUAGUUCCUCCUAUGCUAUCUACAUGCUAGUAGAAAAUAUAACAUUGGUCAAAUGUAAAAAUACCAAACAUUGAUCCAAUCUAGUUAAACUCCUUCAAGCAGGGGUAGAUACACCAGCUUCCUCUGACAGCUGUCUCGGGACAGCGCUUCUGUCACGAACCGAGCCGAGGCCAUCGCCGCGAUGGGUUUCCGAACCACGAAGGCCUGAGAGACCCCUUAGCAUACUAUCAUAAGCAUAAUCUAUACAUAAAUCAAAGUGUGGAAGAGAUAACAAAAUUCAAGUUGAUCCUAUGAUCAAUAUAUGUCAAUAAAGUUAUGUCAAUACAACACUCAAAUUCCGUCUACAAAGCCUCUACUGUCGAGAUGAAGACUAUUGAAAGACUGCGUGAGGAAAUUGGACAGACGAUGAUGCUUAAUGUGAAGAAAGACCCAACAUCUGCAAAGGUACCUGAAACUGGUGGUCCGGUUAAGACAAGCUUUUUCUUUGGAGGCUUACUGGAAAAGUUCCUAACUUAAAAGUUCAUCUGUUGUGAGCUUACCUACUUAUAUAGAAGAAUAAAGCACUUAAUUAUAAGUCAAACGCAUAAAUGUGGCAAGGUUUCCCUGUAAAAAUAUGUGUAGAUACAUUGGACAAUUAUCCUUGCCAGGAUAAACAAAGGGAAAAAGAUGGGAAGAAAAAAGAACCUGCCCCAUUCAGUCUUAUUCUGUGCUGAAGUGUGGAAUUAUCCAAUGACUGUGUGCUGCUCUUGCACAAUAAAAGAUGAAAGUAUGACUUUAGGAUUAAAACUUUGGUCCAGAAAUGCUACUAUUGAAGAUUGAACAAAGAAAGCCAAUACAUUUUAGUGUACUUGAUCUUGAUGUCUAUGUUGUGUAGUAGUAGCAGCCCAAAAAUGAGCUGCUGACAUUGUUGUGAUUUUAACCUUUAGCUCCUUCAGUUUAAUUUUUAGCUGGUUGAGUAUUUUCCCUUCAUUUGUCAGUUAAUUGGCAGUAUGCUUAGGUCAAUGUUUGUAACUUUAAUUUUAAUUAGGCCCUCCUAUGCUAUCUACAUGCUAGUAGAAAGUAAAACAUAGGUCAAAUGUAAAAAUACCAAACAUUGAUCCAAUCUAGUUAAACUCCUUCAAGCAGGGGUAGAUACACCAGCUUCCUCUGACAGCUGUCUCGGGACAGCGCUUCUGUCACGAACCGAGCCGAGGCCAUCGCCGUGAUGGGUAUUCCGAACCACGAAGGCCCCAGAGACCCCUUAGCAUACUAUCAUAAGCAUAAUCUAAACAUAAAUCAAAGUGCGGAAGAGAUAACAAAAUUCAAGUUGAUCCUAUGAUCAAUAUAUGUCAAUAACAACUCCAUUAUCGAUAAUUCAGCAACUCCAUUAACAACAACAACAAAAUCACUAAUCAAUCUUCACCAUUGAAGACAACAUCAAAGAAAGGAGAAACUCCAUUAAGCACAAAAUGAGUAACGAUUCUUCACCAUUGUCAACAACAUCAAAGAUGUGGAAAAAAAAUUCUUUCUUUUUUACAAAAUCAGUUAACUGAUUAAGAAAUCUUUUUUUCAUUUAUUAAUGGAGCUGCUGAUUCAACAACAAUUAACUUUUAAUACUCCCUCCGUCCCAUUUUAUGUGUCAUCAUUUCCUUUUUAGUUCGUCCCAAAAAGAAUGUCAUGUUUCCUUAUUUGGCAAAUAUUUAAAAACACAACUACACUUUUACCCUUAUUGGUCCCACUUAAUUAAAAAAAAAGAUAGAAACACAUUUUUUUAUAAAGGACAAUUUGGUAAAUAUUAUCAAGUCUUCCCUUAUUUCUUAAACUCCGUGCCCGAUCAAAUGGCGACACAUAAAAUGGGACGGAGGGAGUAAUGACCAUGAGUUUGCAUAAACCUUAUCGCUUUGAGAAAGACCCGACAUAAAAUGAAUCGAUAACAUAUAGAAAGCAUAGUUUCUUAGAACCAAACAUAAUGUGAGACAUGGAUUUAUGGAUCAUGAGCAUCAUAACAUAGAGCUUAAAUACUUGUAAGCUUGGAUUGUUAAGAGACAUUAUGUCUUCUAGUUUUGAGGUCGAAACAUGACAUAAGUGUAGGGAGAACUCAAACCUUAAGCAUAGGCAUUGAAGUAGGAGGAGUUUGCUUGAAUAGGAAUAGAUUUAUCAUGACUCUUCCCUAAAACUCGCCACAAUGACAUAAUUUAAGAACUACCUUAAUUCACCAUCUCCCUCUUAGAUCAAAGUCACAUUCCUAGAUUUACGGACAUAUCCUCUCAUCAGAUCUAUAAUCACAACUCUCAACACAAUUGCGGGGGAGGGGUAUCACUAUACAGUUGAACAUCAGACUCGCCCUCGCCCUGCCCUCGCCCUGAUAAACUAUAUAAGAAAAGUACUAACUUCUUGCUAAGACAUUCCUUCCAAGGGCACUACUCUCAACUUCGUCUAGCCUCCAAGCUUGAACUCUAACCUCACUGCCUUUCAACCUUAGUUUGGAAAUAAAGAGUGACCCUUUUGAGAGAAAGCGAAAGUUUUAAGGCUUAAAGACGGGCUAUGAAAAGAUUGGAUGGUUUAUAGGACAUAAAAGGACCAAGAUAACCUUAAUACACUUUAAAAACGAACUCCCGUCGACGAAAGAAGGGAGGUCCUUGGCAUGAAGCCCAAAGUGAACCUCCAGCUCUGCGGCGCGAAGCCCAAUGCAAAGCAGCAUCCGCGAUGCAUAGCCCAGUGCGAAGCUGAGGUAGUGAGCCGUCAUGGCUCCCUUGUGGUGCGAAGCCACUGUAAACUCACCUCUUUGCGACGCACAAUCUAAUUUCCAUGCCCAAACUUUCCCCAAUGCAUUAAAACCUAUCUCAGGACGUCUUAUAUUCAAUCUUGGGAUCACGUAAGCUCGUUUUAAGCACAAUUUAGACUCCACAAACACCCAACUGUUACAAACUCUUUGCUACAACACUAAUCCUCGUAUCCAUAUAUAUAUAUAUAUAUAUAUAUCAAAAAUUUUCACUCAAACUUCUUAUAAGUUGUCAACCUAGGCCCCUUUCACACAUUACAUCAAGCCUACUAAUUCAUUCCCACAAAUCUUGCAUCACAAUUCUUCAGUUAACAUUCUUAUCACCACAAUCCACAUCCAAAGUUCAAGCCUAGUUCCUAGCACCAAUCGUGUACCACCAAUGAGAUGUCCCACAUCAAAUGUGUAUGCAAAAAUUGGAACGAUCUUAUCAAAAACUCGAGUUCAUUGAAAAACACUUCAACAGUGAUGGUAAUCGUCUCCGUCUAACGAUUUGCAAGUUUGGUGUUAACAACCAGAAAGAUCCCAUAAAGAUUUUCGAUGCGUACUUGCUCCCUGAUAAAUAUUUACCGGAUGUGUCCCUACUCAUCAGCUGAUUUACCGUUGCGAUGAUGUUGGUGAUUUUAGAUGUAUUUAUGGUCCAAUUAAUGGCUUAUUCUUAUUAGAGAAAGGACAUUACAUAGAUAACGGUCGAUUUGUCUGAUGGAACCCUGCAACGAAAGAGUGUAGGCUUAUUCCUCGUGCUGUUUUCGAGGUACAAAAAUAUUUCGAAGACAACAAGCGUAGUGUUGGAAUAGGAAUAGACCUAGCGAAUCAUGAUUAUAAAAUCAUAUGGGUACGGUUAUUUUGGGAUGAUUUGCAGAGCGAUGUUUUCCUUAAGGUUUAUGCUGUUGUCUAUUCGACGAAAAAUAACUAAUGGAAGCACUUGGAGCCGAAUUUCUCACAUGAAUGUCAACUAUGUUUAUCCCAAAAUUGUACCUACAAGAAUGGUAUGUACUAUUGGAUUAGUACUAGCAGGAGGUUUUGCAAUAGAGAGAAAAACGUGUAUUUUAUUCGAACAUUUGAUUUUUCAACUGAAUUAUUCGGGCAAUUGGAAGGACCACCAAUUCCAGGUGACCAUUGGACAUCGUUAAUGUUACGAGGUAGUACACUUGCAACUAUGUCUAGUGAUGAUGUUACACAGGAAAUGACGGCUUGUUACGAUAUAUGGGUAAUGAUUCGAGAAAAUAAUUGGAUCAAAGUUUAUACUGUGAAUCCAUCAAUACCAUCACAUUGGCCUGUUGGGAUUUGGGAGUAUGACAAGUUUAUUUUUGAACACACACAAACUUGCAAGUUGGUGUUUUAUGAUCAAACAGCUAAACAACUUACAAGUUUUGGAUUUCAAUUUUUCGAACUAGGUUGUGGCUCCGAUUGGGCUAUGAGUUAUAAGGAGAGCUUAGUUCCGAUAAGUAAAGAAAAACCGACUGAGAAGGACAAUGUUGACCUCUUCUUGAUAAAGUUAUAAACAAGCACGAGCAACGAGUUAAAGUUCGAAAAAAGUCUUUUUUAUGAUUCGAUCAUUUAUAUGAUUGAGCUGUGAAAACUUUUGCAUAGAUACCCUACAUCAGAAUUCUAAGCUGAAUUAUUUUUGGUUGAAGAAUCUCUUUCUAGUUGCUUUGAAAUAAUUAGGAGAUUCUCGAAAUACGCAAUAUCCCGCUUAUGGAAUCAAAUCAAUAUGUUCUCCCGGAGAAAUGUGAGGAUGAUAUUGUAAAUGUAGAGGUCAAAUGUUUGAAUAUGGGUUUUUGUUCCUUAUUUUGCAGUAUUUUUUUUAUUUCUCUGAAAAGAAAAGUUCAAAUUUUUGCGAUCCAAAAAACAUGUUCAUCAGGAAGUAUUGAAAUAUUGAAAACUUCAGAAUCCUUACAAGAACUCUUAGAAAUUGCCAAACAAUUUUAUUACAAAUGGACUAGUCAGCUUCAAGGUGUGUUUGGAUAAAUAGUUGGUGAUAGUUCAAGUAGAAAACACAAACAUUUGAUAGUUCAGGCAGAAACCUCGCAAAAAUGUGAUACUUCAGGUGUGUUUUUGACCAUUAUCUCUUUAAUUAAUGGUGAUUAUAUUGAGGGUCCUACUAAUGAAGAUGCCUCAAUUUCAACCCAAAUUAUAGUUGCAUAAGGCAAUUAGGUUUAUAUCAAUUGCAAAUGAAUUCAACUAAUGAACAACGAGCUUGUUAGGCCAAGUUUUUACUUUUGCCAAGAUAGCUUUUUCAGAAAAUAUUUCCUGAGAGAUGCCGCUUAUGUUUGGCCAAUCAAUUGCUUUUCCUUGUAUUUGUUGAUUCAUUUGUCGUUUUGAUGAAUAACAAACAAAGUUUAUUUGUAAGGAAAUUACGAAGUUGGUCUAGUUAUUAAAUUAAUCAGAAAAAAUUGUUUUGAACAUCUAAAGAACAUAAGAUUCGAAUUGUCAUCACACAUAAAAGUCAUAUUAUUAACUAGGAAAGUUAGGCAGCAGUUGGAAUCAAGGAUCUAUUUAUUCAGCUAAAAGAUACAAUUUAUAAGUGGUGGAAUACUAAACUUAGACCACUACUUAUUACCGCACCUGUUUUUAUACUGUGUCAACUUUGGAAGAAAAGAAAUACCAUUAAACAUGGAGGUAAGUUGUCAAUUCAUGGCAUGAAACUUGAAGUGAAUAGGAAUAUCCAUCUUUUGGUAAGAUAAGGUAUCCUUCAUUUAGAAAUCUGCCUAAUAAUUAGUCUAUGUUGGUCAUGAUUCUGGAAGCUUACAAGCUUAGCAUUCAGGCUACUAUGGUAAACUGGAAACCCCUGAUCAUUGGUGUUAUCAACUGUAAUUCCGAUGGAGCAUCUAGAGGCAAUCCUGACCCUAGUGCUGGUGCUUUCUGUAAUAGAAAUAGUGAAGGUGAAUUCAUUUAUGCCAAUUCUUUCAAUUAUGGUAUAUUAACUAGCUUGGAGGCAGAAGUUUGUGCUUUUAAGAGGGGUUUGGAGUAUUGUGUCACUCUUAUCUUAAAGAAGAUCCUAGAUGGAGUUUGGGAAGUUCCUUGAAAGAUUGCAAUGGAUAUUAGGAGGAUUCUAUGGUAGAUGAAACAAUUUCAGGUGGAAGUGGUGCACACACAAAGGGAAGGAAACAAACUGCCAAAUUUUUUUGCUAACAAAGUUUUCUUGUUUGCAGGAUAUCAAAAUAGAGAAUAUAAAUCACUGCAGGAUAUUAUAGGCGGAGAAAAAAUAAUUGUAACAAUGGACAAGUACCAGAUACACUCAAUAAGGAUUGUCAAAUGCCAGAACAAUAAUUUUUAUAUCUAAAUGGCAACCAAGGUAGACUACAAUUCAGAUGUAAACAUAGAAGAUAAACAUCUACAUCGAUAAACAUCUAUAUCUAUUCCAAUCUAGAUCUAGAACAUAUUAAAAGUGUGAAGACCUUAGAAAAGUGAUUUGAAUUUUUUUGCCCUUCAUUAAAAGAUUCUGUAAUAGAUAAAAUCGUCUUUUCAUAUUUUUCUUCAAUUUAUAUUAUUGAAUAUUGACUACAAUAAAUACAUAAAAAAGUAAAAUGGAAAAGAUUUUCUACUUUAGUUGAAUUCCUAAAUUUAUGGCAAUAUUUUGUUAGAGAGAAUCCAACUUCAAAGAAAUUAUAUUAUAUAAAUAGGUUUUAAUAUUUUUUUUUUUUUAAAUUGACUAUUUUACAUAAAAUAGAUUAUUAAGACUCCUAAAAGAAGAAGAAAGAAAAUUCUUCCAAAAAUAAUUGCAAUGCGUGUAUUCCAAUUAAUAAAGGAUAGUAGACUUCAUAAAUAGAAAGGUACUAUUUUUUUAAGUUAGGAUUAUUAUUCUUUUGUUAUAAUAUUUUAGUUUAGAAGUUCUUGUAUUUCUUUCCUUUUUCCAAUUUUACAAGUCUUUUUUUAGGUUUAUACGUAUACAUUAUUUGGAUAAUAUUACUUUAUUGUGCUCGUAGCUUUGUUAUUGGGUAACUUUGUGAUUUUUCAAUUUUAAAUUUUUAUUUAUAUUACGUUUUGAUUUUAUUACUCAUAAAUAACAAAUCAUCCUUUUAUGUUUGUGAAUAGAUUAGUUAUUGGAUCUCUAAUAUAAUGUUUUAGUUUAAUUUCCAAGUUUCGAAUUUUCUUUUCUACUAUGCUGGUUUUGUUGAUCAAAACAUCUUUUCGUGUUUGUAUAUAUGUAACUUUCAUCAUUGAAUCUACAACGUAACUUUGUUGUUUCUAGGUUUCAAGUAACUUUCGUUAUUAAGUAACUUUGUGGCUUCUAUUCAAAUAAUAAGUUUAUGAAUUUUUGUGUAAAGAUUAGGUUUAAUUAUAUUGUUUUGAUAUCUUUAUUAUCAUAUUAUCUUGUUGUAAUUUACAUGUAGUAGAUAAAUAUCGGUCGGUUUUGAAAAAACUAUUUCAGUAAAAGAUUAGGCUUAAUUGCAUUAUUUUGAUGUCUCUACUUUGAGAAUUUUUUUAUUGUAUAAAGGUUAGAUUUGGUUGUAUUGUUUUGAUGUCACUAUUAUCGUAUUGUUUUAUUGUACUUGACAGGUGGCAGAUGAAUGUCGAUCGACUUUGAGGAAUUCUUUUUGCAAAAGUUAAGUUUAAUUAUAUUAUUUUAAUAUCUCUAUCAUCGUAGUAUUUUAUUGUACUUUAUAUGUGGUAGAUAAUCUAUUUCCAUUGGCUUUGAGAAUUUUUUUUUGGUAUAUGUUAGGUUUAAUCAAACAAAUUCUCCAUCUCUACAUGUUCAAAAAUAUUGAAUUUAAUUAUUAUCUCCUUUUUUAUUAUUUAAACAAAUAUUUUAUUUAGUAUAAUAUUUGAACUCAUUAAAUUGAGAUACACGCGCGAGACGCGUAUAACUAGACUAGUACAUACAAUGGCUCCGAAAUCAAGUCGAGGGACAAUGGAUUAGACAGGCAAUAGCAAAAAAUCGGGUUUUUUUAGUCAUCAACAUAAAAACAUGCAAACAAGUGCAUUUCAGGAUUUCGAUUAAGAUUUGCAUCUUACCUUCUCCGGAGUUAGUAGAAUCAACUGAAUCAGUACUCUUACGCAGUGGUAUCAGUUCCCCGUUGAGCUCAAUCUGUCGAGGGUAUGACUUAGUCGAUUUGGUUGCUAUAGAUGAUAGGUAAUUGAAGGGCAAAGUACGAACAACUCAAUUAGUCAGUCUUGUGCUAAGAAGAGUUGAAUAAGUCUUUCUAUGGCUCGAUUUCAUGGCAUUUGUGACACGUUGGUAAAUGUCCGAAAUGAAGUCCACCAUAACUCAGCUUUCGAACAAUUUUGGCAUUGUUUUCAUAGAUCUGUAGUUAUUUCGCACACACCGUCGGCAAUCAGAGCAGUCUCAGCGUCGCCAUAUCAGAAAAGACGAUGCUCAGUAUCCACAAUAUCUAGAGACUUCCUAGCUCCCUUUCUAUUAUUUUCAGAUUUUAGUAGUUGUCUUUUUGUUUUUUUU
rnacentral:lncRNA from 1 species